rnacentral:lncRNA from 1 species
GUGGUUCCGUGCAUUUAUGGGUACAUGGUAUUGCCAAACUCAUGAUUUCUGUUAUUCUUUCCUCACUCUUUUGUGCUUAAUCAGUUCCAUAGGCGUUUUGCCAAAUCUCUUUGCUAUUAAUAUUCUCUUCUUUCGGGCAAGACCUUCUUUGAUUGACAAGUUCAUCGAAUCUCAACCAUGGGAAAUUGGUAAGUGUGGCUUUGUACACUUUUGGCUCGAUUAUUUUAGCCAACUCCUGAUAUUUAUUUUUAUUUAUUUCAUUAUUCUUUAUAUGAAUAAAGAUAAUGGAUUACAUACGAAUGAGAGAGGGGAAGAGUAGUAGUAGUUGAUUUUUUAUAUGUUGGUAUAGCAGUCUAACAUAGAUGACUAUAUUUGAAAACUGGAGACCUAUACCAGAAACAAGCAUAUGUAAAACAUUAUUCCAUAUACAACACUUGACUCACCAUCUUCCUCUGGUAUAAUAUUUAAUAUAGUAUGUCUACCUGCGUAUUUAGAUACACUAAAGAUGGUAAUAAGAGAGUUCUGAAAUGAUAAGCUUGGCUCAUAUAAAUCGAGAAUUCAUUCGUGUCGCUUAGAGUAACAAAGACACGGUAUAAUUUGGUUAUCUUACCUAGGAUAGAGAUUUAAUUUUAUAAAUAAUAUACUUAAAACAAUCUCACUCAAUUAAUUAUAUAAGCAUUGUCAUAUAGCAAUAUUUAGUACAAACCAUCUCACUCAAUUCUUUCGAAAUGGUAAAAAAAAUCUGUUUGCGUUACUUCAAGAUUUUAUGUCUGCAUUACUCAUUUAAUAUUAAGUGUAAGGAAUUGUUAGAGAUGCUUUUACGAUAUGUUGCCAUCUCUUUUGUUUUUAGGCUUCACAUGGCUGGUACAUUGUACCCUUGC